UGUCGUUAGUUGCCAGCAUGUUAUGAUGGGGACUCUAACGAGACUGCCUACGCAAGUAGAGAGGAAGGUGGGGAUGACGUCAAAUCAUCACGGCCCUCACGUCCUGGGCCACACACGUGCUACAAUGGUAUGGACAAUGAGCAGCCAUCUGGCAACAGAGAGCGAAUCUACAAACUAUAUCACAGUUCGGAUCGGAGUCUGCAACUCGACUCCGUGAAGCCGGAAUCGCUAGUAAUCGGAUAUCAGCCAUGAUCCGGUGAAUACGUUC
rnacentral:rRNA from 1 species